rnacentral:misc_RNA from 1 species
CGGCCCGGCCGGGGCCCAUCGCGAGCUGCCGGGUAGGUAAAAGUAAAAAAGUUGUUAAGAGGCGCGGUGUCGGCGUGCUUGUAUUUGCGGGAGAGAAUUAUCUGGAGGUGCUGGGUAGCCGGGAAGACUUGGACGGAUCUGGCCCGGGAAUGGGUCUGGGCCUGGAUUCUGGUGUGGUGUAGGGUAGGCGUAGAUAGAUGAGUGGUCUAGGGUAGAUACAGGGUAGCCAGACGUCUAGUAUAUAGUAUGGGGGUGUAGGGUAGGUCUGGACACCGUUUUCCACUUCGCCCUUCCCUUUAGUCGAGGGAGGACGAUCUUGGCUGGGACGGAGGUGUAGGGUAGGCUUAAUUAACGAUUACAUGAUCUGUGUCACUCUAGGGUAGGUGAAAAUCCCAUAUAUAUCUGAUCAGAUUUGGCGAAGAGGUGGUUUGGCUGGUGAGAUGGACAAAAGUGCAAUGUAGAAUUAUAUGUGAUUUUGCAAAAGUGGGUGUGAAAUUGGGAAAUCGGUUUUCCCGCACAGAUAAGAGCACGUUUGAGGUGCCAUGAGAUGCACCUCUCCGAGACGACCUCGACGGUACCACCGAUGUGUUGGUCAGGCUCCUGUGCGGCCGUCCAGGGCGGGAUAAGUAGAGAAUGAGGUGGUGUAGGGUAGGUGGCCAGGUCCAGGGUAGGUUCGCCAAAUCCGUCAAUCCGGCUUGAAUGGAAGGACAGGUCUAGGGUAGGCCAGAGUCGGGUCUAGGGUAGGCAACUCUCACCCUCGAAGUGGUCUACCCGGUAGCCAACUUCAAUCGCCUCUCACGGCCGCCACGGAUCUCGUAUGACGACGGGACUACCACCAUCGGAUUCGCCUUGGUCGAAAUAGCUGGUAUAUGCACUUUUGAAAAAAUGCGUGCAAAAUGGUUUUGUGGUUUGGUGGUCGUGAGUCGAUUUUUUUGUUUUCCCAUACAAAUGAAUUUUGCGGAAAAUAAAAAGUGGCCCACGAGGCAGUCCUGGCGUGCGGCCCACUAAAACGGUCUCGGAGGGUAUAUGAGAAGGGAGCAAAUCCGGCCGAGCCUGAAAGGGUGAGGACAUACCGGGCGAGCAACCUCUCAGUAUCAGAUCUUGCAGACUUCCACUGCGUGUCCCUCUGUACAGCUUUGCAGGCUCCGGCCUCGGCAGCGGGGGGUUCAUAGUGGUCGUCGACCUCCACGAAACUGCACGCUCCGGCGUGACAGCGUACUGGGGAUGCCUGUGUAGAUGCAGUCCGGGCUUGCCUGGACCGCUAGCAGAUGGGCUCUGUGGAUGACUGGCCGCUGGCUAGACCUGAAACCUGAGCAACGGGAGGUAACCUCUCGCCGCGGACACCGGAAUGGUAGAAGCGGCGUGCUGCGUCCUCCUCUUGGGGCCCCUAAGCCACACCUCCCAUAGCGGGUUCGGUGCGGCGGACGGACGCCCUGGGGAAUUUAGAGGGGGAAAGCGGAUUGCCCUAGCGGUGUUGUUGGCCCUGCCGACCUCACUGCGAAAGGCGCGACUUCACCGUCGCCACCCAGUAACUUGUC